UACGUAGGGGCCUAGCGUUGUCCGGAUUUAUUGGGCGUAAAGAGCUCGUAGGCGGUUUGGUGAGUCGGGUGUGAAAUCUCCACGCUCAACGUGGAGGAGCCACCCGAUACUGCCAUGACUAGAGUCCGGUAGGGGAGUGUGGAAUUCCCGGUGUAGAGGUGAAAUUCGUAGAUAUCGGAAGGAACACCAGUGGCGAAAGCGGCUUCCUGGUCCAGCACCGACGUUCAGGCACGAAAGCGUGGGGAGCAAACAGG
rnacentral:rRNA from 1 species